rnacentral:lncRNA from 1 species
CUUGAACCUAGGAGGCAGAGGUUGCAGUGAGCAGAGAUUGUGCCAUUGCACUCCAGCCUGAGCAACAAAGUGAGACUCAAUCUCAAAAAAAAAAAACAAAAAAAGGAGGAGGAGAGGUGUGUGAUAAGUCCUGAUGGCCUUAGGUGUCCUGACUGUCUAGGCAGCCAAAGGGCACAUGGUAAGCCAUCCAAAAGUGCCUUCAGGGCAAAAGAAUAGAAAGGGGGUCGCUCUGCUCGUGGGGUACACGGCAGAGGAGUAAGUUUUAUGUCAAAGCAGGAAUCUGAUCAGAGGUUCCGAAUUGGAAGUACAAUUUCAUCAUUUUUGCAAUUUCUACAAAUUAAUUUUAGUGUCAGAAAAAGCUGAUGGUGAGGACAUGCAUUGCAGUUUGCAGGAGGGAAAUGUCAAAUGAGGACUUCAUCACAUAUGACAUGAGAGAAAAGUAAAAGCUGGUUCUAAAAUCAAAAGCUGUUGUUCAUCCUGAAUUGAAUUUUCUUAAUUUGGGUGGAGUAGAGUGUCUUUGAAGUCUUGUUCCGAUCUUGUUCUAUUGCAUUGUUGUUGGUAACUGUUGACUUUGUGUAGUGUAGAAGCAAAAAGCAUGUCCUCAUAGUACAAGUACAGGGAAGGAUAG